AGAGAGAACGGAACUGGUGUUUCGCCCGGUCUUCAAAACCGGCAGCAGACGGAUAAAACCGGCUGUGGCAGGUUCGAUUCCUGCUCUCUCUG
rnacentral:tRNA from 1 species